rnacentral:tRNA from 1 species
GCCUCUGUGGCUUAGUGGUAUAGCAGCAGUUUUGUAAACUGCAGGUCGGGGGUUCAAAUCCCUCCAGAGGCU